AACCAGACUCCUACGGGAGGCAGCAGUGGGGAAUAUUGCACAAUGGGGGAAACCCUGAUGCAGCGACGCCACGUGAGUGAAGAAGUAUUUCGGUAUGUAAAGCUCUAUCAGCAGGAAAGAAAAUGACGGUACCUGACUAAGAAGCCCCGGCUAACUACGUGCCAGCAGCCGCGGUAAUACGUAGGGGGCAAGCGUUAUCCGGAUUUACUGGGUGUAAAGGGAGCGUAGACGGUGAAGCAAGUCUGAAGUGAAAGGCGGGGGCUCAACCCCCGGACUGCUUUGGAAACUGUUUGACUGGAGUGCAGGAGAGGUAAGUGGAAUUCCUAGUGUAGCGGUGAAAUGCGUAGAUAUUAGGAGGAACACCAGUGGCGAAGGCGGCUUACUGGACUGUAACUGACGUUGAGGCUCGAAAGCGUGGGGAGCAAACAGGAUUAGAUACCCGGGUACC
rnacentral:rRNA from 1 species